UUCCUUGGAUCGUAUAAAUCUUUUGACUUUUACUAAAGAUUUCCAUUGAGAGGAACAAUUUAUUUAUAGCACCCUUCCAGUACUUAAGGGG
rnacentral:snRNA from 1 species